UACAGAGGGGGCAAGCGUUGUCCGGAAUUAUUGGGCGUAAAGCGCGCGCAGGCGGUCCCUUAAGUCUGAUGUGAAAGCCCACGGCUCAACCGUGGAGGGUCAUUGGAAACUGGGGGGACUUGAGUACAGAAGAGGAAAGCGGAAUUCCACGUGUAGCGGUGAAAUGCGUAGAGAUGUGGAGGAACACCAGUGGCGAAGGCGGCUUUCUGGUCUGUAACUGACGCUGAGGCGCGAAAGCGUGGGGAGCAAACAGG
rnacentral:rRNA from 1 species